CAGAUGUGUAUAAGAGACGGAUGAGAAGCUUCGACCAAGGUUCGACUCGAGCGAAGCGAGAGAACGUUGCCGCAGGCAAUGGCCCGAAGGCGAGGCGCUUUAGCGCCGAGUAAUCCUUACCCCACCACUG
rnacentral:sRNA from 1 species